rnacentral:rRNA from 1 species
UAGGGAAUCUUCCACAAUGGACGCAAGUCUGAUGGAGCAACGCCGCGUGAGUGAAGAAGGUUUUCGGAUCGUAAAGCUCUGUUGUUGGUGAAGAAGGAUAGAGGCAGUAACUGGUCUUUAUUUGACGGUAAUCAACCAGAAAGUCACGGCUAACUACGUGCCAGCAGCCGCGGUAAUACGUAGGUGGCAAGCGUUGUCCGGAUUUAUUGGGCGUAAAGCGAGCGCAGGCGGAAUGAUAAGUCNGAUGUGAAAGCCCACGGCUCAACCGUGGAACUGCAUCGGAAACUGUCAUUCUUGAGUGCAGAAGAGGAGAGUGGAACUCCAUGUGUAGCGGUGGAAUGCGUAGAUAUAUGGAAGAACACCAGUGGCGAAGGCGGCUCUCUGGUCUGCAAACUGACGCUGAGGCUCGAAAGCAUGGGUAGCGAACAGGAUUAGAUACCCUGGUAGUCCAUGCCGUAAACGAUGAGCGCUAGGUGUUGG